rnacentral:rRNA from 1 species
ACUCCUACGGGAGGCAGCAGUGGGGAAUUUUGGACAAUGGGGGGCAACCCUGAUCCAGCAAUGCCGCGUGCAGGAAGAAGGCCUUCGGGUUGUAAACUGCUUUUGUCAGGGAAGAAAUCCUCUGGGUUAAUACCUCGGGGGGAGUGACGGUACCUGAAGAAUAAGCACCGGCUAACUACGUGCCAGCAGCCGCGGUAAU